UACGGGGGGGGGCAAGCGUUGUUCGGAAUUACUGGGCGUAAAGGGCUCGUAGGUGGCCAACUAAGUCAGACGUGAAAUCCCUCGGCUUAACCGGGGAACUGCGUCUGAUACUGGAUGGCUUGAGUUUGGGAGAGGGAUGCGGAAUUCCAGGUGUAGCGGUGAAAUGCGUAGAGAUGUGGAGGAACACCGAUGGCGAAGGCAGCCUCCUGGGCCAGCACUGACGCUCAUGCACGAAAGCGUGGGGAGCAAACAGG
rnacentral:rRNA from 1 species